GGAGGGAUAGCGAAGUGGUCAAACGCGGCAGACUGUAAAUCUGUUCCCUUUCGGGUUCGAUGGUUCAAAUCCAUCUCCCUCCACCA
rnacentral:tRNA from 1 species